CUACGGGGGGCUGCAGUGAGGAAUAUUGCACAAUGGGGGGAACCCUGAUGCAGCAACGCCGCGUGGAGGAUGACGCAUUUCGGUGUGUAAACCCCUUUUAUAUGUCAAGAAAAUGACGGUAGCAUAUGAAUAAGCACCGGCUAACUCCGUGCCAGCAGCCGCGGUAAUACGGAGGGUGCAAGCGUUACUCGGAAUCACUGGGCGUAAAGGACGCGUAGGCGGAUUGGAAAGUCAGGUGUGAAAUCCUACAGCUUAACUGUAGAACUGCACUUGAAACUUCUAAUCUAGAGUAUGGGAGGGGGAGAUGGAAUUAGUGGUGUAGGGGUAACAUCCGUAGAUAUCACUAGGAAUACCUAAAGCGAAGGCGAUCUCCUGGAACAUUACUGACGCUAAGGCGUGAAAGCGUGGGGAGCAAACAGGAUUAGAUACCCCAGUAGUC
rnacentral:rRNA from 1 species